CACUAAAGUAAUGAGAGUUGGAGAAUUAGUUCCAUGUUGAGACGAGCCGUUAUUUAAAUCAACCUUUAACAUUUCUAUCCGACAUGAUAAAAACUACAAAUUCUUAUCGAGUAUGCCAAUACAAAACCAAGUUUAAGAUAUGAAUAACACGCUGUGGACUCACUUUGACCAAUCAUCUUCAAUGUCCGCUAAACAAUUAACAAUUGUGAUAACCACAUUGACUUAUCUCUUCACUUAUAAAAAUGUCAAAUUUUGGUGUAGAAAUGAGGUGAUAGAUCAGAUGCAUUUUGCAGAUAUCAUUGUUCAUAGCAUCAUAAACUAUUUGAUAUAUCAAACUACAAGAAAAAUAACAAAGAUAGAUUAUUUUGUAAUUAAAGACUUCCAACGCAACAACCUAACGACAUGGGGAUUCAUUUUAUUAAGGGAAGAUGAGAUUAUUUAUAAUAAAACAUUACAUCCCGUUCGCAAAAUGGAAGUGUCAAAUUUAAUAGCACGUGAAACGAUAUCUCAUUGGUACGAUAAUGUGUUUCUGUGGUCAAAAGAAGGAUUUCUUACAGCAUACAUUUUGAAUCAGAGUGAGUUAUUAUAUCGCGCUAUGGACCUAUUUGUUGUCCAAACACAUGAGGAAUCUUUACGUUUUGAUACUCUUCCUACAGAUUCU